GACGAACGCUGGCGGCGUGCUUAACACAUGCAAGUCGAACGCUGAAGCUUGGUGCUUGCACUGGGUGGAUGAGUGGCGAACGGGUGAGUAAUACGUGAGUAACCUGCCCUUGACUCUGGGAUAAGCCUGUGAAACUGGGUCUAAUACUGGAUAUGACAUGCCACUGCAUGGUGGUGUGUGGAAAGGGUUUUACUGGUUUUGGAUGGGCUCACGGCCUAUCAGCUUGUUGGUGGGGUAAUGGCCUACCAAGGCGACGACGGGUAGCCGGCCUGAGAGGGUGACCGGCCACACUGGGACUGAGACACGGCCCAGACUCCUACGGGAGGCAGCAGUGGGGAAUAUUGCACAAUGGGCGGAAGCCUGAUGCAGCGACGCCGCGUGAGGGAUGACGGCCUUCGGGUUGUAAACCUCUUUCAGCACGGAAGAAGCGAGAGUGACGGUACGUGCAGAAGAAGCGCCGGCUAACUACGUG
rnacentral:rRNA from 1 species